GGGGGGGGGGGGGGGGGGGGGGGGGGGGGGGGGGGGGGGGGGGGGGGGGGGGGGGGGGGGGGGGGGGGGGGGGGGGGGGGGGGGACAUCCUACCACGACACUACAGGUUGGACUCGGGUUGUAUGGGGAAGAUUUUAGCUUGUAUUAAAAAAAAUAAUAAUUAAUACUUCCAGAAGUCAGAACAUGAGAGAACUGAAUCACUGGACAAAAUGAGUUGAAAACUGGUGGCUGUCCUCAUGGGGUGCACGGUGAGGUUUUAUGUGGUGGAAAAAAAAUCCUUGUCCUCAAGGUUCAGGGUGGGGGGAGAACCCAAAUUUUCUCUAUAAAUGUGUAUUGUGUCGCGCAAUGUGGUGGAAGCCGGCAUUACAAGUCAGAAUGAAACACCAUAGAUAUCAUAAAAAUGGGGAAGUUAACCCAUCUAUGAUCCUUGGGGAAUUAUCCCAUCCAUAAUUCUCAGGAAAUAAUUAUUUGCCUAUAAUGAACAAAUGACAACAUACUGAAUGACAACCAUCUGUUACUUUUCUGGAAUUGCAUGCAAACAGAACUGGCAUUUGUGUUCCAUUUAUAUCCAGGCCUGAUUAGUGUUAUUUUAAAGUCCUUGUUUCUUGGACAGAUGCAGUAUGGAAGACCUGAAGGCUAUAAGGCCACAGGAGAAAGGACAAACACAGAAAGAGACAGGAAACUACAUAUGUGGAAAGAGCAAGUAACAUCAAAAGCAGUGGACGUGCACACAGGGUUGAAACGGAAUGAAUCCAAGGCUCUUGCUCCAUCAGGGCACGUCACAGUACCAGCACCACAGAUACAUGUGCCACAGGGCGUUCUACACAGCCACUAUGAAGAGCAGCUGGAACAGCAGCAGCUGGCCUACCAGCAUGAGGCUGAGGCUGCCCAGCUUCGCAAGCAGCAGGACCAGCGUUAUUGGCAGCAGUUCACACUUCAACGCAAGGCCGACACAUAUAGAUCACAUGAACAGAAAGGACAAUUGGAGCAACAGAAUCUGGUCCCGCAGAAUGAGAUUUCCUGGCAGCAGCAGCAGCAGCAGCAGCAGUUGCAGCACUGGCAGCAAAAAUCAACAACUAAAGCAGUCUAUUUGGACAACAGACCACAUGUAGCCCAAAUAAAGUACGUAUUCCAAAAACGUUGGAAAAUAGAAACACAGAGGUCAGAUAAAAUAUAACAAUGGAGGUUGGAAAACAAAUCUACCUUCUAAUUUUAUCUUUUAUUUUGCUUUCCUUUGAGUUUUUUUGUACACCGCGCCUUCCCAAUUCCACAUCCAGGCGAUGCAUGACGCCAUCAACAGGCGCCGAAGGAAGGGAGUACUCAGUUUUCGCUCCAUUUUCUUGUUUGUUACUUGCAAAAUUGAAGAAUUUUCAAGUAUAUUGGUCAGUCGAUUUUGUUAUUCUGUCUCUUUGAUUGUUUGUCUGUCUGUUUAUCACCUAUAGGUCACAAUUUUAAACCGAUCUUUACGAAUCUUCACCACAUGGAAGUUUGUCAUAAGGGAGAAGCCUAUUGUUUUUGAGUUCAAAUGGUCAAAAGGUCAACAUCGACCAAAGGUCAACAACUUCGGUGAGAUUUCUAAAAUCCUCAAUUUUCAUCCGAUUGACUUGAAAUUUGAGGAGGAUUUACAUUUCAGGGCACUGAAUUCAACUAGCCAAUUAUUUUUGAGGUCAACAUGGACAAAAAGGUCAACAUAGGCCCAAGGUCAACAACUAAGGUGGUAUUUUUAAAAUCCUCAAUUUUCACCUGAUUCACUUGAAGUUUCAAGAGGAGUUGCAAAUUUGGUCAUUGAAUUCAACCACAAAUUAUUUUUGAGGUCAAAUUUGUUUGAUGGAUUUUGCAAGUACGUAUCAUGCGCUGCACGACG
rnacentral:lncRNA from 1 species